GACAGAGGGUGCAACCGUUGUUCGGAAUUACUGGGCGUAAAGCGCGUGUAGGCGGCUUGGCAAGUCGGGUGUGAAAGCCCUGGGCUCAACCUAGGAAGUGCACUCGAAACUGCUUCGCUUGAGUGUCGGAGAGGAAAGCGGAAUUCUCGGUGUAGAGGUGAAAUUCGUAGAUAUCGAGAGGAACACCGGUGGCGAAGGCGGCUUUCUGGACGAUAACUGACGCUGAGACGCGAAAGCGUGGGGAGCAAACAGG
rnacentral:rRNA from 1 species